AUCAGUAAAAUUAUUUGGAUAGCUCAGUAUUUCAUAGGUCAUCGAAACUAAUUACUGUCAGAAAAGUAGGUUAGGUUAGAACUGUGACCCCUCAGAGAAAGAAACUGCUACUAGAAAAGUAGGUUAGGUUAGGUUAGAACUGUGACCCCUUAGAGAAAGAAACUGCUACCAGAAAAGUAGGUUAGGUUAGAACUGUUACCCCACAGAAAAAUAAACUGCUACCAUAAAAAUAGGUUAGGUUAGAACUGUGAACCCUCAGAGAAAGAAACUGCUACCAGAAAAGUAGGUUAGGUUAG